ACAUACUGUGUCCAACUUCCAUCGUGGCAGUCAUUGAGAUUGAGGCCUGUGUUCCUGAAAGCCUCGUCUCUGACACCAGCUGCCAAAGUGCCUGAGACCCGUUCAACCCAGAAGUGGAUACAAGGCAUCUUCAAUCCCCAAGGUUCAUUCUGUGGCGGUCACGCAGUUGACUACACCUGAAUGUUCCUCUCCACAGCCCAUCUACUUGACUCUGUGGUUUAUAAUUAUCAAACAUCCAGCUUUCAGCCAAUGAGGUUUCUACCAAGUCUGCUACCUCAAUAAAUAACAGGCCACUGAUUAGCCUCACAAUCAGUCACAAGCACAGCACUAAGGCUGAUUUGGACCCUGAGCUCUGAGCAACUAGACAGAAGACUAGCAAUGGCUUCACCCAGCAGCUGACUUGGACAGAUGCAGAUACCCACAGCCAAACAUUGGAGGGCACUUGGGAACUCUCAUGUAAGAGCUAGAGGAAGAACUGAGGGCGCUGAAGGGGAUAGCAACUCCACAGGAAGACCAACAGAGUCAACUAACCUGGACUCUUGAGGGUUCCCUGAGACUGAACCACCAUCCAAAAAGCAUACACAGGCUGGACCUACGUACGCCACACAUUUGUAGCAGAUGUGCAGCUUCGUCUUGAUGUGGACCCCCCAACAAAUGGAGUUGGAGCUAUCCGUAAAGCUGCUGCCUGUCAGUGAAAUAUGUUCCCCUAACCGUGCUGCCUUGUCUGGCCCCAAUGGGAGAGGAUGUGCCUAGCCCUACAGAGAUUUGAUGUAUCAGAGUUGGGGAAUACCCAGGAUGGGGAGGCUCUAUCCUCUCAGAGGAUAAAGAGGAGGACAGGCGAAAGGAAUGU
rnacentral:lncRNA from 1 species